AUGUAUAUAUCGUUAUCACUAUGUUUGGUUGACUUAAACAGAAUUCGGGUUACUUCAGUCGGGAUUUCUGGAUCGUUUAUAUUCGACCAGGUAUUUGGUUAAUUCAACCAAACUUUUUUUUACGUGCAGGAAGCUUUCUUCAUGGAAAACGCGUCGGUGAAAUUUUGCUUCUACAUUAAACGCAAAAUUCUGUUUAACUAAAUUAAAAGUGAAAGAAUUCAAAGUCAGAUUUAAAGUGGAUUGAAGAAUGGAGAGUUUCGAGACAAAACCUAUAUAACAUUGUAGAAAAAUAUUUGGUGAUUAUAAUUACAUAGUAAAAAAAUUAUAAUCAGCAAAACCAUUUCUAUAGUGUUACUAUAAUGAUAAUAACGAUAAUUUUACAUGUAUAUAUCGUUAUCACUAUUUUUGGUUGACUUAAACAGAAUUCGGGUUACUUCAAUCGGGAUUUUUGGAUCGUUCAUAUUCGACCAGGUAUUUAGUUAAUUCAACCAAACCUUUUUUACAUGCAGGAAGCUUUCCUCGUGGAAAACGCGUCGGUCCUGAAAGCACCUGCCAGGUUCAGUCUGGUCUGACGGAAUAAUUCAUGGAAACGGAGGCUCGACAAUUAGGGGCUGAGGGUUCGCGGCGUCCACCGUGAAAACCGUACGAGCGAAGAUUUCCUGGCGCAAAACAGUGUCGCCCGAUCGACUUUUCACGGAUGGAAGGAGAACGAGCUCGACGCGCGGAGAGAAACCGGCCGCAGUCAACUUGGCUCGGAGUUUUCGGCGAGGAAUCUUCAGCCGCCUUUGCUGGCGGUCCUUCGGUCUCCCUCCGGCGCCACUCCGGAGAUCCUUAUUAGAACGAUACGUCGGAUUCGAGGCUGAGAAUUCCCUCGGCCCAGCGGCUGGGGCCCGCAUAUAAAAGUGCGUGCGCGGCAAAUCGCACCAGCGGAGACGCCGCAUUGAGCGGAGGCGGUGGUCCGUGAAACGCAUUUAGCUUGUUGGUACACAGAACUCGACGGGACACGCGAGCCCUGUUCUCCCCGCGCAUUGUGUGCGUGUGAGUGCGUGCGAACGCACCCACGUGCAAGUGCGAGCCGGGCGCGUCGAUGAUCGUCGAGAAUCCGCUCGUCACUUUUCAGACACACGCUUUUUCUUCCCGACCUGAAUGCAUGUAAAAAGGGCCCGUUCGCAUAAUCCGUCACCUGCAUUGUAUUAUUAGAGGGAUUACGAAUUUCCGGGCGUGUCCUCCACGUGGAGGUCGCUGUCCCGUGCGACCUCUCCCUCCCCUUUCUCUCUCUUUCGCUGCCUGUUCGCCAGCAAAGAGAUCAGAUUCCACUCCAAGUCCCCUAUGAGCUCUUCUCGAAGGCGAUCCUUCGGAAUACGACAAUAAAACCGAUUCGUGAGUGGAGGGAAAACAGAGUCGAGCAGAUGCGGGCCUCCAUCGACUUGUUCUGUCAAAACAUGGACGACGUUUUGUAAGUAAUAUACAUGGAAGA